UACGAAGGGGGGCUAGCGUUGCUCGGAAUCACUGGGCGUAAAGCGCACGUAGGCGGCUUUCUAAGUCAGGGGGUGAAAUCCUGGAGCUCAACUCCAGAACUGCCUUUGAUACUGGGAGCUCGAGUCCGGAAGAGGUGAGUGGAACUGCGAGUGUAGAGGUGAAAUUCGUAGAUAUUCGCAAGAACACCAGUGGCGAAGGCGGCUCACUGGUCCGGUACUGACGCUGAGGUGCGAAAGCGUGGGGGAGCAAACAGG
rnacentral:rRNA from 1 species